UUUCUUUUGUCAAUACCAUUUCAAUUGUAUUAGCUAGGAAUAUUGUUCAACAUCACUUUUUCUAAAUCUUAUGUCAUAACUAUGUUUCUUCCGUUUUUUAUAUCAUUGUUAUGUACGAUUAGUUAAUUAUAGCCAUUUCAAGCCUUAAUUAAAUUAAUGUAAAAAAAAAAAAAAAGAGCAGAAGGCCUAGUAGACGGCUGUUAGCACAUUAUAUGCCUUGCUUGUUAUUUGAAAGGUAUGCAAAC
rnacentral:lncRNA from 1 species